rnacentral:rRNA from 1 species
CCUACGGGAGGCAGCAGUGGGGAAUAUUGCACAAUGGGGGAAACCCUGAUGCAGCAACGCCGCGUGAGGGAAGACGGUUUUCGGAUUGUAAACUUCUGUUAGCAGUGAAGAAUAAUGACGGUAGCAAAGGAGCAAGCCACGGCUAACUACGCGCCAGCAGCCGCGGUAAUACGUAGGGGGCAAGCGUUGGUCGGAAUUACUGGGUGUAAAGGGAGCGCAGGCGGGAAGCCAAGUCAGCUGUGAAAACUACGGGCUUAACGUGUGGACUGCAGUUGAAACUGGUGUUCUUGAGUGAAGUAGAGGUUGGCGGAAUUCCGGGGGUAGGGGUGAAAUGCGUAGAUAUUCGGAGGAACACCAGUGGCGAAGGCGGCCAACUGGGCCAUAACUGACGCUGAGGCUCGAAAGUGUGGGGAGCAAACAGGAUUAGAUACCCUGGUAGUC